UUGGUCCGCGGAUUCCAGAGAUGGUUUCCUUCAGUUCGGCUGGACAAGUGACAGGUGCUGCAUGGCUGUCGUCAGCUCGUGUCGUGAGAUGUUGGGUUAAGUCCCGCAACGAGCGCAACCCUCAUCCCUAGUUGCCAUCAUUCAGUUGGGCACUCUAAGGAAACUGCCGGUGAUAAGCCGGAGGAAGGUGGGAUGACUCAAGUCCUCAUGGCCCUUACGCGCUGGGCUACACACGUGCUACAAUGGCGGUGACAGUGGGCAGCAACCGGGCGACCGGUAGCUAAUCUCCAAAAACCGUCUCAGUUCGGAUUGUUCUCUGCAACUCGAGAGCAUGAAGGCGGAAUCGCUAGUAAUCGCGGAUCAGCAUGCCGCGGUGAAUACGUUCCCAGGCCUUGUACACACAGCAGAA
rnacentral:rRNA from 1 species